rnacentral:rRNA from 1 species
UACGUAGGUGGCAAGCGUUGUCCGGAUUUAUUGGGUUUAAAGGGUGCGUAGGCGGUCUUCUAAGUCAGUUGUGAAAUACUUCAGCUUAACUGGAGAGGUGCAAUUGAUACUGGAAGACUUGAGUACUGAUGAGGUAGGCGGAAUGGACGGUGUAGCGGUGAAAUGCUUAGAUAUCGUCCAGAACACCGAUAGCGAAGGCAGCUUACUAAGGAGUAACUGACGCUGGAGCACGAAAGUGUGGGGAUCAAACAGGA